GGCCUCGUGGCCCAAUGGCAAGGCGUCUGACUACGAUUUCAUGAAUAGUAAUCAGGAGAUUCUGGGUUCGACCCCCAGCGAGGUCA